rnacentral:lncRNA from 1 species
AAUUGAAUUAGAAUUACAUGUGAUAGCAUAAUAAAUAUACACUAAUUUAUAAGUCCUGUGUUUUAUUACAGUAUUUAUUUAGAAGACUUUUUACUUUUGGCAAUAGCCUUUAAAAAUAUUUUACCAAAUUGCACUUUGAUUUCAACUCUUCAAAUUUAUCAAUUGGUAAAACAGUUAAGCUCAUUGCUAAGGAACGGUUGUUAGUUUGAAGCAAAAGUGGUGAAUUAAGAAUAACAGUUACAAUUCCUUAUCUGUCAUUCAAAUUUUCAAGAUUUAUGUUUUCAAACAUGUAUUAAUUUAUGAAGUCAAAUAGAGGUAUUUUAAAGGUAGUAAUUUUCCACUUGCUAUAUAAUUGUCAAGUCUUAAAUUUUCACAUUUUUCCUUUUAAAAUGUUUUCUAUAUUCCUAUGAAACAGACAUUAAGCUUUUUUAAAACAUGUAAUAUACAUGUGUCAUAAGUAAAAAUGUGUUGUCAAUAAAAUUCAAUGGAAGAUAACCUGAUAUCUAUGAAUUAUUUAUUUUCACCCAAAUAAGUGAUUGGACUCUUAAUCUCCCUUUAAUACUUCAAAAAAACAUAUUCUAGAAACAUAAUAUGAUUCUUUGAAGGGUUUAAAUAUUAAUUGAAACACAACUCACAUUUUAAAAGUGAUAUUUGAAAAUUUAAAACUGGACAUUAUUACAGCAAUUACUAAAUUACUAUAUUACCUUUUAUAAGAUUUUACAAUUGAUAUACAUUUUUAGAAAAACAUCAAUAAGGUAAUAAUGAAAGAUGAAGUAUUGACCUUAUUUAGGUGUGAUAGAGAAUAAAGAUCAAAUUUAGGUUUGACAGUACAUUUUUUAAAACACUGCACUUGCUUCAAAACCUACAACUGGAAUUUUAUGUGACUGUCAUACAAGGAAAAGGUUUAGCUAGCUAUAAACCCAGAUUUAAUCAACCAUUUUCUACAUAUGAUUAUGCCUGUACCAAGUCAGGAAUAUGACAGUUAUUAUCCAUUUGUUUGAUGUGUUUGAGCUUUUGAUUUUGUCAUCAGGGACUUUCCGUUUGAAUUUUCCUCAGAGUUAAGUAUUUUUCAUAUUUUACUUUUUUCUACCUAUAAGCUAUCCUAUUUUACCAGUUAAUCAGUUGGAAAGAUGAAUUCAAACUGCAAUUUUGGUAAAACUGCUGACAAUCAAUAUUAUGGAAGGAUAAGCACUGUAACUGAUGUAAAAAGCAUCCUUCCUGAAAUGUUUAAAUGGUACAUAUCAAUUGCAAUGUUUUGUUUUGGGUAUCGAAAUUUUCAUUCAUUUUUAGAAUUACAUAAAAUUGAAACAAGAUGAAUAUAU